rnacentral:rRNA from 1 species
GAUCCUGGCUCAGGAUGAACGCUGGCGGCGUGCUUAACACAUGCAAGUCGAACGGAGCUUAGAAGGAAGCUUGCUUCAUUAAGCUUAGUGGCGGACGGGUGAGUAACGCGUGAGUAACCUGCCCUUGAGAGGGGAAUAACAUCGAGAAAUCGGUGCUAAUACCGCAUAAUGUCGGAGUACCGCAUGACAUUCCGACCAAAGAUUUUAUCGCUCAAGGAUGGACUCGCGUCCGAUUAGCUGGUUGGUGAGGUAACGGCCCACCAAGGCUUCGAUCGGUAGCCGAACUGAGAGGUUGAUCGGCCACAUUGGGACUGAGACACGGCCCAGACUCCUACGGGAGGCAGCAGUGGGGAAUAUUGGGCAAUGGGCGCAAGCCCUGACCCAGCAACGCCGCGUGAAGGAUGAAAGUCUUCGGAUUGUAAACUUCUUUGAUUGGGGAAGAAUAAAUGACCUACCCAAAGAACAAGCCACGGCUAACUACGUGCCAGCAGCGGC